rnacentral:rRNA from 1 species
UAAAGUGGCGAACGGCUGAGUAACACGUGGGCAACCUGCCCUUUGCACUGGGAUAGCCUCGGGAAACCGAGGUUAAUACCGGAUACUCCAUAUUUGUCGCAUGGCGAAUAUGGGAAAGCUCCGGCGGCAAAGGAUGGGCCCGCGGCCUGUUAGCUAGUUGGUGGGGUAGUGGCCUACCAAGGCAAUGAUGGGUAGCCGGGUUGAGAGACUGAUCGGCCACAUUGGGACUGAGACACGGCCCAAACUCCUACGGGAGGCAGCAGGC